rnacentral:tRNA from 1 species
AGGAGCGUAGCCCAGUUGGUUUAGAGCGCCGCAGUCACAUUGCGGAGGUCAUCGGUUCGACCCCGAUCGUUCCUACCA